AGUGAACGCUGGCGGUAGGCCUAACACAUGCAAGUCGAACGGCAGCACGGUAAGAGCUUGCCCUUACGGGUGGCGAGUGGCGGACGGGUGAGGAAUACAUCGGAAUCUACUUUUUCGUGGGGGAGAACGUAGGGAAACUUACGCGAAUACUGCAUACGACCUACGGGUGAAAGCAGGGGAUCUUCGGACCUCGCGCGAUUGAAUGAGCCGAUGUCGGAUUAGCUAGUUGGCGGGGUAAGGGCCCACCAAGGCGACGAUCCGUAGCUGGUCUGAGAGGAUGAUCAGCCCCACUGGAACUGAGACACGGUCCAGACUCCUACGGGAGGCAGCGGUGGGGAAUAUUGGACAAUGGGCGCAAGCCUGAUCCAGCCAUACCGAGUGGGUGAAAAAGGCCUUCGGGUUGUAAAGCCCUUCUGUUGGGGAAGAAAAGCAGCAGGUUAAUACCCCGCUGUUCUGACGGUACCCAACGAAUAAGCACCGGCUAACUUCGUG
rnacentral:rRNA from 1 species